GGGGAUACAGCUCAGUUGGUAGAGUGCUUGCCUCACAUGCAUAAGGCCCUGGGUUCAAUCCCCAGUACCACAA
rnacentral:tRNA from 1 species